rfam:Ictidomys tridecemlineatus contig017702, whole genome shotgun sequence.
GGGGUUGUGGCUCAGAGGUAGAGCGCUCCCCUAACAUGGGUGAGGCCUUGGGUUCGAUCCUCAAUACCA